rnacentral:rRNA from 1 species
GAUGAACGCUGGCGGCGUGCCUAACACAUGCAAGUCGAGCGGCAGCGAGGGGUGCUUGCACCCUGUCGGCGAGCGGCGGACGGCUGAGUAACGCGUGGGAACGUGCCCCAAAGUGAGGAAUAACUGCCCGAAAGGGUAGCUAAUACCGCAUAUUAUCUUCGGAUCAAAGGAUUUAUCCGCUUUGGGAGCGGCUCACGUCGGAUUAGGUAGUUGGUGAGGUAAUGGCUCACCAAGCCGACGAUCCGUAGCUGGUCUGAGAGGAUGACCAGCCAGACUGGAACUGAGACACGGUCCAGACUCCUACGGGAGGCAGCAGUGAGGAAUCUUCCACAAUGGGCGAAAGCCUGAUGGAGCAACGCCGCGUGCAGGACGAAGGCCUUCGGGUUGUAAACUGCUUUUAUAAGUGAGGAAUAUGACGGUAACUUAUGAAUAAGGAUCGGCUAACUACGUG